UGAAAGUUAAAAAUGUAACUUUUCUAAAUUACAUGGUGUAACACCCCGUCCCGAACCAUGUCGGAAAUUUUUGCACGUUGACCGAGGUUGACCGUUGACCAUUGACCAAGGGGGUCAAUAGUUGACUUUUUGACUCGGUGGGAAUUUCGAGUUGACCAGGGUACCGUGGCGAAGUGCACAAUGCCCCGAGUUCGUAGACUGGUAGCACGUCGAAAACGGAGCUACAAUUUGAAAGUUAUGGGCGAAACAAGUUGCGGUCCAAACUGUCCAAGGAGUGCCGGAGUUGACUUUUUGUUUUUGGGAAAAUGAGCUUUGACUCGUGCAUGGUUUUGAAGUGCCCGUCGAUACGAGUUCACAAACUAGGGGCACGCUUAAAACGGACAUCCGGUUAAAAAGUUAUGGACGUUUGAAGUUUACCGGACACCAUAUUAUUUUAAUGUUUUUGGGUCGGUGAACAGUGAAACGCCACAUGUCAGCUUCUGAUUGGUCCAUGUGGCAUGAACAGUGUCACACAGGGGUUUUUAUUUGUUAAAACUCUCGGGGAAGAGAGAGAAAGAGAGAGAGAGAGAGACCGCCGGCCGCCGGAGUUUUUCCACUGUUUCGGCCGAGUUACUGUACAUGCGCUGCCAGAAAGUUUCCCCUCCUCAUUUCCGGCAAAACCUCCAAGUUUCAAGGCGAACAGCCGCCGGACGCGCCCGGAUCGGACCUCCGAAAAUCGGCGGCGACUUUUUUCCCUCCAUCGCCGGCCACCGCAAAUCGACCCACUUCCGGCCAGUUUCCGGCCACACGCGCCGUACACCCUUGAUCCUCUCCUCAAGUCCAGCCGACCCACCAAAAAUCAAGGCCAUCGGACCACCGAUGCGCCGGGAUCGGAGCGUUUUCCUGCGAGGGGCCGGAAAUCUUCAAACGGUGAUUUCUCCGCCGUCCAGCCUCCGUUUUGUUCACCGCUGGUCCCGUUGGGUUGCUCUCCUCACGAUCUACAAGUCUGCAAAAUUUCACGACCAACGGCCACCGCACGCGCCGCCGCCGGCGACGGUUGCCGGUGACCGCGGCGGCUCUCCGGAAAGUACUGUUCCGGCGCGUACCCAGUUUUCCGGCCAGCUCCAGUCAACUGUGUUCGACCUCCUGAACCCGAAUCCGGCAUCCGUUUUCGCCAAUUCGUGACGGUUUGGGAGAAUUGCGGAGCCGAAACCCGAAAAGCUUUCCGGCGAGAUUCCGACCCCAUCGGGUCCGAUCACUGGAAAGUAAGACCGAAUUCGUGAUCCUCAUCACGCGAGCUUCGAUUCGGUGCGCGUAAGAGUGACGGAGUUGAUCCCGAGGAGGAUCUUAGUUGAUUUGCGUGCUCCAGGUCCAGGUUGGAGACGUUGAUUGUUCGGGGCGAGCCCAACGUCUCAGUUCGUUGCCGAAGGUUCAAGCAGUUUUUCUUCCCAUUUUCCUCUUGAACUUGUAUUGUUUCUUUAUCCGUCAUUUUAUAAAUUUCACGUUUAUCUGUAUAAUGCUCUGUAUCCUGUAUUGGACGUGUAGUUGUUUUUAAUGCACCGGGUUGCUGCUGUUGUUUU